GGUAGCAACAAGAGUUUGCUUAACAAGAAAGGAAAAGAUACAAGUUAAGUGACUAACAAAAGCAAAAUGCUUUGUCCACUAAAAAAGAGGUUGAAAACAGCAUAAAAGAGCCUAACCACAUGCUUAAAAACCAAAACAAUAGUUCCUAAUAUCUUGUUAAUAGAGCAAGCACAAAUCUACCCAUCAAUUCACACUCAUCUUGAUUCAUUCAGGUGUUUAUGGCAUCUGAGGCACCAACAUGGGCAGAUCAAUGGGGUGAAGGAGGUUUUGGUGCAAUGGAUGAUGUAAAACCAGUGCAAAACAAAGACACCAACAAGAAGAAAACAUCUUUUUUUGGAGGAUUCAAGGCUGGAAUCAAAUGGGUUAAGCAACAAUGUGUUAAGAAAAAUCCUCAUCCUAAAUGACUUAUAUUGAUUUUUAUUUUUUGCGUAUGUUAGUUUUGCUUGCUUCCUUUUUCUUUCCUUUUAAGAAUUAAGGUUGGGUAUCAAAAGAAUAGAAAAAUAAAAAAGUAAUGAGUUUGUAAUAGAUUGAUGAAUAAAAUUUUGAUUAAUUAAGUAUUGUUUUUCCUAGAUUAUGUUUUUUAUUCUUCAUGUAUGCAAAGAUUUUCUAAUCUUUUAGAUUAAAGCUCUAAUAUUAUUGUGGUUGUUGUUAA